AUGGUGGAACAGGCAUUCUUUGGAUUGCUUUGCUUCAGUUGUAAAAAUAAAAAAAAUUUCACCUUUCUCUCUCUCUCUCUCUCUGUUGUGGUUCAGAAGAUCUUUUGGAUAUUAAUCAAUACUGCUACUCUGGUAUGGUUUGAAAGACCCUUCAGGGAUAGAUUGACUGCGAGAAGCAUCAGGGGAAACAUAAAACAAUGAUUUUACACACUUUUUAAUCAUGGCAGAGGAACACAGUAUCAACACGACAACUCUGUUGCAGACUUGCAGUACCGAAUUUUCUCAUUCUUAGGCUUCCAGCAUAGUGCUUCCUGUCAGAGUUUGGUGUGCUUGCAAGGUGAGUGCUUAAUAAUGACCUCUUAUCCUCGGAAACGUGUCUUGCUUAUAAAAAUAUGGGGUGCAUAAAUCAGUGGCCUAAAAUAAUUCAAUGGCCCAGUGUACUAUUCAGUGUCAUUCUAGUGGACUGAAACUGACCUGAUUUGUUACUCAUACCUAGAAUUUGGAUGCCAUCCCUAUCAACUGAAAGCAUCGGUAUUGAUUGGAAUCUUAGAUUUAUCUCAAUGGAUGAAGUGCUUAGAUUUGAAAUCUGUUAAAUUGCACCUAUUCCUUUUUACACGUGUACUGUCUAGAUGUCAUGUGAGAAUCUAGCCACAAACAAGAAAUGACUUGAAAUAUUUGCCUUUUUUACAUGUGGUUUCAAUUUUCAAAGAAGAUUACAAGAACCCAAUAGUUGGAAAGUCCUAACCAAUAAUGCUACAAAAUUAGGUAGACCACAAAUAUGCUCUUCCUUGCAAGUUGCUAGUGUUGCUUUAGUGCUUGAAGUUUAGUGUUGUGGAAGCUCAAAGAUAUAAAAUGUUCUAUGUUUGUGGAACUAUUUAGUUCUGUAAAGGCAAUAUUUUUCUGCUUAUGUAGUGCAGGUGGUAGACCACCACUAACCAACUUUUGAGAAAUCAGUGAUCACCAAGCUUCUUUGAAAAUAUCCUUUUACGUCCCUUUCUCAGAAAACAUUCAUUUUACAAUUCAAUACUUGCAUGCACUGAACUAUGUGAACACAGUUGACAUUCCAAUAGGGCUCAUGUAAUCUGUACUUGUGUUGAUGUGUGCAGCCUGUUCGAUAUAUAAGGUGAAACUCAUGCUUAAAUAGAACUGUUGGAGAAAUUCAUUAUUUCUGAAAUUGGAAUAGAUUAUAUACUUUUUCUAUCUAUUAUUAUUUGUUGAUUGCUUCAAAUUUGUGUGAUCUAUAGGAUUUUCUGAAGGUGUAGGGUCAAUCAAUUUGUCGACUGUGAAACUACUUACUCUUCUACUCAUAUUUCAACUUUGCUCCUCAAUACUCGACCUUUAAUUUUGUAUUUGUCACUCUUUUCCAACAAAUGAUGCAUGCUCUGGCUAGCAUGACACGCAUUUUUAUUUGUUUUCGUGCACGAAAAUGUUUAAUUAUGUUGAUUGUGUAAAAUAUUGUGCAUUCAGGUUCACAGUCAAAUCAAUCAUUACACUUUGUUA